CUACAUUUCAUCAGUCUGUGUUUAUAACAGGGUCUACAUUUCAUCAGUCUGUGUUUAUAACAGGGUCUACAUUUCAUCAGUCUGUGUUUAUAACAGGUCUACAUUUCAUCAGUCUGUGUUUAUAACAGGGUCUACAUUUCAUCAGUCUGUGUUUAUAACAGGGUCUACAUUUCAUCAGUCUGUGUUUAUAACAGGGUCUACAUUUCAUCAGUCUGUUAUAACAGGGUCUACAUUUCAUCAGUCUGUGUUUAUAACAGGUCUACAUUUCAUCAGUCUGUGUUUAUAACAGGGUCUACAUUUCAUCAGUCUGUUAUAACAGGGUCUACAUUUCAUCAGUCUGUGUUUAUAACAGGGUCUACAUUUCAUCAGUCUGUGUUUAUAACAGGGUCUACAUUUCAUCAGUCUGUGUUUAUAACAGGUCUACAUUUCAUCAGUCUUUUGUUGCAGGACAUCUUCACCAUGGGUUCAAUCUGAAAUGAGUUAUUUCACAGAGUUACUCUUUAGGAGGUCCGUUACAUAUGAUAUGUCAGAUUUCUGAAAAAGUCAAUUUACUUUAAAUAAUCAGAACAUUAUAUCUGUAUCAACCACCUUUUAACUUGGCGCUAGAACGUUCUGUCCGUAUCAACC
rnacentral:lncRNA from 1 species